UUUCGCGUUUAUACGUCAACGGAAAUGACGUGUUUUCACGCCGUAAAUGGCAUUUAUCACGAGGGCUAUUUUACAACUAUAAAACUAUACACCUUUUAUACCAUCGACUCGGCUUGGCUUGGUCUUUUUGAUGGGGGCAUGACUGGGGGUACGACUAGACCGUAAAAGAAAUAUAACAUGCAAAACUGCAGCGGCCUUGGCUACGGGUACCUGCCC